CUCCUUUGACGUUAGCGGCGGACGGGUGAGUAACACGUGGGUAACCUACCUAUAAGACUGGGAUAACUUCGGGAAACCGGAGCUAAUACCGGAUAAUAUUUCGAACCGCAUGGUUCGAUAGUGAAAGGUGGUUUUGCUAUCACUUAUAGAUGGACCCGCGCCGUAUUAGCUAGUUGGUAAGGUAACGACUUACCAAGGCGACGAUACGUAGCCGACCUGAGAGGGUGAUCGGCCACACUGGAACUGAGACACGGUCCAGACUCCUACGGGAGGCAGCAGUU
rnacentral:rRNA from 1 species